GGUAGCACGCCAGCCUCUGAAGCUGGAACUUUAGGUUCGAUUCCUAACCCUGCAACCA
rnacentral:tRNA from 1 species